AUGGCAAAUGAGAUCAUCCUGCGCCUCGACAUCGCCCAGGAGAGCAGGCAAUUGUCGCACGGUGAGCUCCAACUACGGAAGAAGGUCAAGCUAUGCAUCCCCGGCCUCGCUGCAAUCGACAGAGCUCGGAAGCGGCAGGCGCCGCACGUCACCUGGCUCCGCGCGGGCGAUGCCAAGACGGCGUUUUUUCAGGCAAAGAUCAAUUCCAGGCGCCAGAAGAACUUCAUCCAUGCCCUCCAUGCCCGUGACUCCAUCGCCACCUCCCACAGCGACAAGGAGCGGAUCAUACAUGAGCACUUCAACUCCAUGCUGGGGACGAUGUCGCCUCGUAGCCGCACCAUUGAUUGGGACGCCAUCAACUUGUCGACCCUGCUCGCGGCCGGCCUCGACAACCCCUUCACCGAGGAGGAGGUUUGGGUGUCGAUAUGCAAAUCUCCACAGGAGAAAUUCCCAGGGCCGGACGACUUAAACGACAUUUUCUUCCCAUCGUGCUGGCCCAUCAUCAAGACGAACAUCAUGGCGGCCUUUCACCAGUUCUACAACCUCGCGGAGGGAGACAUGUCAAUGAUCAACAAUGCGACAAUCAUCCUCUUACCAAAGAAGGAUGGGGCGACAGAGAUCACAGAUUACAGGCCCAUCAGCUUGAUCCACUCGAUCGCGAAGCUCAUCUCCAAGGUUCACUCCAUUAGAUUAGCAUCCGUCAUCGGCUCCAUCAUCUCGCCGGUGCAAACGGCAUUCCUGAAGACAAAAUGCAUCGACGACAGCUUCCUCUUCGUGCAAAACUCCGUCCCUGCCCGACACCGUGUCUCCUCAUGA
rnacentral:rRNA from 1 species